rnacentral:rRNA from 1 species
AGAGUUUGAUCCUGGCUCAGAUCGAACGCUGGCGGCGUGGCUAAAACAUGCAGGUCGCACGGAAAGGCCUUUCUAGUUUACUAGACGGGCACUCGAGUGGCGAAAGGGCGAGGAAUACAUGGGUAACGUACCCUGAACACGAGGACAGCCCGGAGAAAUCCGGGUUAAUACUCGAUAAGACCACAGUGUCAUAUGGCACAGCGGUCAAUGGCGGGGAUCCCUUCGGGGACCUGUCGGUUUGGGAGCGGCCCAUGCCCUAUCAGCUAGUUGGUGAGGUAACGGCUCACCAAGGCUAUGACGGGUACCGGGACUGAGAGGUUGACCCGGCGCAUCGGGACUGAGACACUGCCCGGACUCCUACGGGAGGCUGCAGUAACGAAUAUUCCGCAAUGGGCGCAAGCCUGACGGAGCGACGCCGCGUGCAGGAUGAAGCCCCUCGGUGUGUAAACUGCUGUCAGGGACUACCAAGCAAAGAGGGCUAAUAUCCCUCUACGUUGAGGAUUCCCAAAGGAAGCCACGGCUAACUUCGUGCCAGCAGCCGCGGUAAGACGAAGGUGGCUAGCGUUGUUCGGAAUCACUGGGCUUAAAGGGUAUGUAGGCGGUCCGUCAAGCGUCUUGUGAAAGCCCUCGGCUCAACCGAGGAAUUGCUGGGCGAACUGGCGGACUUGAGGCAGGUAGGGGCGCGUGGAACUCUUGGUGGAGCGGUGGAAUGCGUAGAUAUCAAGAGGAACGCCGGUGGCGAAAGCGGCGCGCUGGGCCUGUCCUGACGCUGAGAUACGAAAGCCAGGGGAGCAAACGGGAUUAGAUACCCCGGUAGUCCUGGCCCUAAACGAUGUCCACUAGGUCGAAGCAGCUUUGACGCUCUUUCGGCCGAAACAAAAGCGUUAAGUGGACCGCCUGGGGAGUACGGUCGCAAGGCUAAAACUCAAAGGAAUUGACGGGGGCUCACACAAGCGGUGGAGCAUGUUGCUUAAUUCGAUGCAACGCGAAGAACCUUAUCCUGGGCUUGACAUGUUUGGAUGCCUACUGGGAAACCAGGUCGGCUGCCCUUCGGGGUGAAACUUGCACAGGUGCUGCAUGGCUGUCGUCAGCUCGUGUCGUGAGAUGUUGGGUUAAGUCCCGUAACGAGCGAAACCCUUGUCGUUAGUUGCAGCGCGUAAUGGCGGGGACUCUAGCGAGACUGCCGGUGUUAAACCGGAGGAAGGUGGGGAUGACGUCAAGUCCUCAUGGCCUUUAUGCCCAGGGCUGCAAACGUGCUACAAUGGCGUGUACAAACCGACGCAAGACCGCGAGGUGGAGCAAAUCGGAAAAAGCACGCCCCAGUUCGGAUUGGAGUCUGCAACUCGACUCCAUGAAGUUGGAAUCGCUAGUAAUCGCGUAUCAGCUACGACGCGGUGAAUGUGUUCCUGAGCCUUGUACACACCGCCCGUCAAGUCAUGGAAGCCGGGAGUACCCGAAGUCGCCUCGCCUCAGAGGUGCCGAAGGUAAGCUCGGUGACUGGGACUAAGUCGUAACAAGGUA